rnacentral:rRNA from 1 species
CCUACGGGUGGCAGCAGUGAGGAAUAUUGGUCAAUGGACGCGAGUCUGAACCAGCCAAGUAGCGUGAAGGAUGACUGCCCUAUGGGUUGUAAACUUCUUUUAUAUGGGAAUAAAACGUUCCACGUGUGGGAUUUUGUAUGUACCAUAUGAAUAAGGAUCGGCUAACUCCGUGCCAGCAGCCGCGGUAAUACGGAGGAUCCGAGCGUUAUCCGGAUUUAUUGGGUUUAAAGGGAGCGUAGGUGGAUUGUUAAGUCAGUUGUGAAAGUUUGCGGCUCAACCGUAAAAUUGCAGUUGAUACUGGCAGUCUUGAGUACAGUAGAGGUGGGCGGAAUUCGUGGUGUAGCGGUGAAAUGCUUAGAUAUCACGAAGAACUCCGAUUGCGAAGGCAGUUCACUGGACUGCAACUGACACUGAGGCUCGAAAGUGUGGGUAUCAAACAGGAUUAGAUACCCUAGUAGUC